GACGAACGCUGGCGGCGUGCUUAACACAUGCAAGUCGAACGGAAAGGCUCUGCUUUUGUGGUGUGCUCGAGUGGCGAACGGGUGAGUAACACGUGAGUAACCUGCCCUUGACUUUGGGAUAACUUCCGGAAACUGGGGCUAAUACCCGAUAGGAGCUCCUACUGCAUGUUGGGGGUUGGAAAGUUUCGGCGGUUUGGCAUGGACUCGCGGCUUGUCAGCUUGUUGGUGGGGUAGUGGCUUACCAAGGCUUUGACGAGUAGCCGUACUGAGAGGGUGACAGGACACAGUGAGACAGAGAAACGGCCAAGACUUCUGCGGGAGGAAUGAGGGGGGAAUAUUGCGCAAUGGGCGGAAGCCUGAUGCAGCAACGCCGCGUGCGGGAUGAAGGCCGUCGGGUUGUAAACCGCUUUGGCCUGUGACGAAGAGUGAGUGACGGUAAUGUGUAAAGAAGCACCGGCUAAGUAAGUG
rnacentral:rRNA from 1 species